rnacentral:lncRNA from 1 species
CAAAAAUACAAGUGGACGUGACAUGAAGCCUUCAUGCUACAUUGCAUAUAUGUAAAAAUUUUAAAGCAAUAAUGAAUAUUAUACCUAUUUGUAUUUGUUUUUAUUUCAGCUUGAUUCCAGUCUUUGUCGAUGGCUAAUACAAGAAGAGGCAAGGCAUACAUGUACAUGUAUAUGUACAAUACAUGAUUCUCUGUAGCAACUGGAUUGUCUAUUCACCCCUAUAGUUCCACAACAAUGAAACUCUAGACUACUACAUGUAUGAUGUUAGGAAAAUAUUUACAUAUACCUACUCAGUGUUCUCCCCAGGCCCUUAAAGGACCGCGGGCCCGCGAUGUAUAAUUUUUGACUGUGGUUCUAUCGGUCUUGCCGC